GAGCACGCCGCGUGAGGGAUGAAGGCCUCUGGGCUGUAAACCUCUUUUAUCAAGGAAGAAGAUCUGACGGUACUUGAUGAAUAAGCCACGGCUAAUUCCGUGCCAGCAGCCGCGGUAAUACGGGAGUGGCAAGCGUUAUCCGGAAUUAUUGGGCGUAAAGCGUCCGCAGGCGGCCUUGUAAGUCUGUCGUCAAAGCGUGGAGCUUAACUCCAUUUAAGCGAUGGAAACUGCAAGGCUAGAGUGUGGUAGGGGCAGAGGGAAUUCCCGGUGUAGCGGUGAAAUGCGUAGAUAUCGGGAAGAACACCAGCGGCGAAGGCGCUCUGCUGGGCCAUAACUGACGCUCAUGGACGAAAGCCAGGGGAGCGAAAGGGAUUAGAUACCCCUGUAGUCCUGGCCGUAAACGAUGAACACUAGGUGUCGGGGGAAUCGACCCCCUCGGUGUCGUAGCCAACGCGUUAAGUGUUCCGCCUGGGGAGUACGCACGCAAGUGUGAAACUCAAAGGAAUUGACGGGGGCCCGCACAAGCGGUGGAGUAUGUGGUUUAAUUCGAUGCAACGCGAAGAACCUUACCAGGGUUUGACAUCCUGCGAAUCCCUUGGAAACGAGGGAGUGCCUUCGGGAGCGCAGAGACAGGUGGUGCAUGGCUGUCGUCAGCUCGUGUCGUGAGAUGUUGGGUUAAGUCCCGCAACGAGCGCAACCCACGUCGUUAGUCGCCAGCAUUUAGUUGGGCACUUUGGGGAGACUGCCGGUGACAAACCGGAGGAAGGUGUGGACGACGUCAAGUCAUCAUGCCCCUUACGUCCUGGGCUACACACGUACUACAAUGCUGCGGACAGAGGGACGCGAAGCCGCGAGGUGAAGCAAAUCCCAGAAACCGUGGCUCAGUUCAGAUUGCAGGCUGCAACUCGCCUGCAUGAAGGCGGAAUCGCUAGUAAUCGCAGGUCAGCAUACUGCGGUGAAUACGUUCCCGGGCCUUGUACACACCGCCCGUCACACCAUGGGAGUUGGCCAUGCCCGAAGUCGUUACUCUAACCGUUCGCGGAGGGGGGCGCCGAAGGCGGGGCUGAUGACUGGGGUGAAGUCGUAACAAGGUAGCCGUACCGGAAGGUG
rnacentral:rRNA from 1 species